rnacentral:lncRNA from 1 species
GAUAGAAAAAGCAAGUAAAGAACAGAUUUUAAAGGGACCAGAAUGCCAAGAGGAGAGAACUUGAAGAUUUUUAGUGUUAUGCCUACUCUGCCAAUUCUUGGAACAUUUGCGGAACUGAGAAUUUACUUCUUCGUUUAUUACUUCCUAACUACAUUUUAAAGACUCAUUUGUUCUAGAUUCAGAUCAUUCAACAAAACAUGGCAUGAUUUCCACAGUCUCUGACAUUCUGAUUGCAUUGCUUGAGAAAAUUCUCAGUCUGGGAAUCUCCUUAAAAUGCAGCACAGAUGAUGGCUGAAUAGGAACAGCUCCGGUCUGCAGCUCCCAGCGAGAUCAACGCAGAAGGCGGGUGAUUUCUGCAUUUCCAACUGAGGGUGUAACACUGUGACCAACGAAGAGAGUGUUUUCUAUCAGUGACUCGCAGACUUCCCUUUCACUGGAAUCCAGCUUAUUAGCUGCAUGGUUAACUUUGGAGCCAGGAAAACAUCCUGCACAUGACACUGCCAUCAAGCAGAGGAGACAUGUUUCUCGGCUUCCCCUCUCUGGGACUUAAUAGCCUCUGAAGGCUAGCCUUUACUGACUCAUGAAGCUGUGUCUGCCUGGGGUCAGUGGUGGAGACAUUGCGUUAACCCCAGCAAGCGAGCCAUCACCAGAGCUUUGCACAGGGAGACACCACAUAGAAAGGCAGAUGAGGCAACACACACACCAUCCCCAGACAGCCAUGGGUCCCCAGAGACAGGAAAAAUAUGUGUUUUCUUAAAGAAUUAGAAAAGAAAACCUUGCUUUUUCCUGUGUGGCUCAUUGGUAGGAGAUCUCAAAUUCUAACCCUUGUUUUCUCUUUUACCUCUCUGUCUGCUAAAAAGCACUCCUUAGAUCCAGUAUCUAGCAUGGUGAGCCUCCUGGAUGCAGUGCUGCAGUGGCCACUGCUGGGUCAAAAACAAACACUGGGAAAGGAGGAAAAUGAUGUUUUUCUCUCUUUCAAUAAAGCAUUUGAAAUCUCU